rnacentral:rRNA from 1 species
UCUCAGGAUGCUGUCUUGACUAGGCAAGUUAUGAAGGAGAGGAGAUGGCCUGGGGAUCCCAAAUGCUCCUUUUAUGACAAUAUUGAAUCAUCCCGACAUUUGUUUUUCAUUUGUCUUGUGGCUAAAGUGGUGUGGCAUUGUGUUGGGAUGGCUUUAGGGACGGACCUCUGUCCAAACAGUUACUGGCAAUAUUUCUUCUGGUGCCACACUUUCCUUCCCUAUGGGAAGAAAUACUAUACUGUUGGCCCGGCGGCCGUUUGCUGGGCUAUCUAGUUGGCUAGAAAUCGAGCCACCUUUGAGAAGAAACAAAUUAAGACACCAUUUGAGAUUGUGUUUUCCGUGUGCUCCUUUUUGCUAUAUUGGGCAGGUCUUCAGCAAGGUGAUGGAGUCAAGGAGCUGCGCAGUGGGGCGGCGAUGGUCAGGUCAAGCACUAUGAGCAUGAUGAAGAUGUGCGAGGAGGCGAGGAGACUGAUCGAGGGAGAAUGA